UUUAAAAUUCCUCUGUUCUGUCCUCAGGAUGUUCCAUAUAUCUUCAAUUUAGAAUGGACAAUGAACUCAAGACUUAAAAACUUGGUACAACAGUUUUAGGAGCAUCUGGAGAAGCUUCAAGGAUUCUGGUCUACUUUGGAAGAAAUUGACAGGUCUCUUCAGAUUGUUGAUUUAAAGCAGGCAUCUCGUGCGAUUGUGAGUCGCCAAAUUCAAGUAGGAAACGAUUGCUCUAUGAUAUUGUCUAUCAAUAUCAAUGAUCCUAGAUCAUUACCAGAGUAAGAAUUAAUAUAAAAUUAUAUUAAAAGCUUCUUACAUUUCCUUUAGUAUGAAUAAUUAAUAUUUAGGUCUUUGUAGGUGUCGUUUAAUGGGUU